GCGCGGGUAGCCCAAUGGUAGAGGCAGCGGCUUCAAGUCCCGUACAGUGCGAGUUCGACCCUCGCCCCGCGCACCA
rnacentral:tRNA from 1 species